rnacentral:rRNA from 1 species
GAUUAAGUUAUUAAGGGCGCACGGUGGAUGCCUUGGCACUAGAAGCCGACGAAGGACGUUACUAACGACGAUAUGCUUUGGGGAGCUGUAAGUAAGCUUUGAUCCAGAGAUUUCCUAAUGGGGAAACCCAGCACGAGUUAUGUCGUGUUAUCGAUAUGUGAAUACAUAGCAUAUCUGAAGGCAGACGCGGAGA